UACGGGGGGGGGCAAGCGUUGUUCGGAAUUACUGGGCGUAAAGGGCUCGUAGGCGGCCAACUAAGUCAGACGUGAAAUCCCCAGGCUCAACCUGGGAACUGCGUCUGAUACUGGAUGGCUUGAAUCCGGGAGAGGGAUGCAGAAUUCCAGGUGUAGCGGUGAAAUGCGUAGAUAUCAGGAGGAACACCGGUGGCGAAGGCGGCCCUCUGGACGGUGACUGACGCUAAGACGCGAAAGCGUGGGGAGCAAACAGG
rnacentral:rRNA from 1 species